rnacentral:lncRNA from 1 species
GAGCGGAGUCUUCCCACGGCCCAUGGAUGCCGUGGUAAAAAUCUGAGGCCGUUUCGGAUAUGCCUUCACAGACGCUUAAUGCAGACAAGACCUUGUCCAGAGAAUUGAGCUUUUGAGCAGCGAUGCGUCCGGUUUGUGAAGGGGUUGCGUGGCUCGUUCUUCCGUUGACCUCAAAACUUAUUUUGCGCUCGUGAGCUUCCAUUCGAAGGCACGUGUCAGGUCCUGGGCUUUUUCGGGGGCCACCAGCUAUAUUCUGUGAAUUUC